UCAUCAGGUAGGAUAAUCCUUACCUGUUCCUCCUUUCGGAGGGCUGCUAGAACAUGAUGAUUGGGAGUAUCACAUGAUAUGUGAUCAAUGUCUCUCUGUAAUUAGGACUGGGACCAUACAUGAUACUGUAUUCAAUU
rnacentral:snoRNA from 1 species